rnacentral:rRNA from 1 species
UGGGGAAUAUUGGGCAAUGGGGGCAACCCUGACCCAGCGACGCCGCGUGGGGGAAGACGGCCUUCGGGUUGUAAACCUCUUUUGUACGGGAAGAAGGAAGUGACGGUACUGUACGAAUAAGUCCCGGCUAACUACGUGCCAGCAGCCGCGGUAAUACGUAGGGGACGAGCGUUGUCCGGAAUUACUGGGCGUAAAGGGCGCGCAGGCUGUGCUGCAAGUCAGCUGUUAAAUGUCUGGGCUUAACCCGGGCAUGCGGUUGAGACUGCAGUGCUGGAGUGCAGUAGAGGCAAGUGGAAUUCCCAGUGUAGCGGUGAAAUGCGUAGAUAUUGGGAAGAACACCGGUGGCGAAGGCGACUUGCUAGGCAGCGACUGACGCUGAGGCGCGAAAGCCAGG